rnacentral:tRNA from 1 species
GGGGUUGUAGCUCAGCGGUAGAGCGCUCGUUUCACAUGCGAGAAGUCCCUGGUUCGAUCCCAGGCAGCCCCACCA